GACGAACGCUGGCGGCGUGCUUAACACAUGCAAGUCGAGCGGUAAGGCCCUUUCGGGGUACACGAGGCGGCGAACGGGUGAGUAACACGUGGGUGACCCGCCCUCAGCUCUGGGAUAAGCCCGGGAAACUGGGUCUAAUACCGGAUAUGACUCCAUGACGCAUGUUGUGGGGUGGAAAGCCUUGUGCGGCUGAGGAUGGGCCCGCGGCCUAUCAGCUUGUUGGUGGGGUGAUGGCCUACCAAGGCGACGACGGUAGCCGCCUGAGAGGGCGACCGGCCACACUGGGGACUGAGAUACGGCCCAGACUCCUACGGGAGGCAGCAGGUGGGAAUCUUGCGGCAAUGGGCGAAA
rnacentral:rRNA from 1 species